UAAUACUCUUUGGAGUUAUAAAAACAAUGUCAAAGUGGCAGCAGAUUAACAACAUUUUACGAUGCUUGGUUUUUAGCAUGAUUUCCACAUUACAUAAAGUUCAUUCAGAAGUUAACUACUAACCACUAACCAGAAAAUGGAGGAAUUUUCAUAACUGGGUUGGGUCGUAACUGUUAUUUUAUUUUAAAGAAACAUACAAUUCAAAUAUUACCUAGAGAUUAUACUCAUGACCAAUGUCCCAAGUUCCGAACCAACGCCCUCCAAAUUAGUAUGCCAUUUAGGUACACUACAAGGCAUCGGAUAGGAUAGAAUAAUAAAAGGAUAUAAAGAGUUUACAUCGUAGUAGUCUAGAUUUUCACCAUAGGGCUUAUAUACGGAUCAUGACCCCCAUAAUAGCCGCGCCUAAGAAAAGUGUCGGGAUAUUGAUAUGAAAGGCCUUAUCAUCUUAAUCUUUCUUACGAAAUUGAUCCAGAGUCAAUUUAACUGUUGAUCACCAAAAUUUUCUUGAGUGGGGAAACUACAUCUCUAUGAGAAAUAGUUUUUCAUCAAUAUGGACUAAGAAGAUACCAAAAAAAGACUAAUCUUAAACUCCAUCACGAUAAUGAAGAUGAGAAUUAAGACAAAUAUUCAUGUCCCAAAAUGAAAAUCCAAUUCAACCUAUAGACAUGAGACUGGAAAACAACUAAUCCAAGUGAGAAUAGGAACUCUAACUUGCUUACACAAACAUAUUUGCACACGAGUGACAAUCAUUUGCUAUGUAGAUUGGCCAAGACCACAACCAUGGAUUAUCACAGAG